CAUCGAUGAAGAACGCAGCGAAAUGCGAUAAGUAAUGUGAAUUGCAGAAUUCAGUGAAUCAUCGAAUCUUUGAACGCAUCUUGCGCUCCUUGGUAUUCCGAGGAGCAUGCCUGUUUGAGUGUCAU
rnacentral:rRNA from 28 species